GGAUAACUCCGGGAAACCGGGGCUAAUACCGGAUGCUUGUUUGAACCGCAUGGUUCAAACAUAAAAGGUGGCUUCGGCUACCACUUACAGAUGGACCCGCGGCGCAUUAGCUAGUUGGUGAGGUAAUGGCUCACCAAGGCAACGAUGCGUAGCCGACCUGAGAGGGUGAUCGGCCACACUGGGACUGAGACACGGCCCAGACUCCUACGGGAGGCAGCAGUAGGGAAUCUUCCGCAAUGGACGAAAGUCUGACGGAGCAACGCCGCGUGAGUGAUGAAGGUUUUCGGAUCGUAAAGCUCUGUUGUUAGGGAAGAACAAGUGCCGUUCAAAUAGGGCGGCACCUUGACGGUACCUAACCAGAAAGCCACGGCUAACUACGUGCCAGCAGCCGCGGUAAUACGUAGGUGGCAAGCGUUGUCCGGAAUUAUUGGGCGUAAAGGGCUCGCAGGCGGUUUCUUAAGUCUGAUGUGAAAGCCCCCGGCUCAACCGGGGAGGGUCAUUGGAAACUGGGGAACUUGAGUGCAGAAGAGGAGAGUGGAAUUCCACGUGUAGCGGUGAAAUGCGUAGAGAUGUGGAGGAACACCAGUGGCGAAGGCGACUCUCUGGUCUGUAACUGACGCUGAGGAGCGAAAGCGUGGGGAGCGAACAGGAUUAGAUACCCUGGUAGUCCACGCCGUAAACGAUGAGUGCUAAGUGUUAGGGGGUUUCCGCCCCUUAGUGCUGCAGCUAACGCAUUAAGCACUCCGCCUGGGGAGUACGGUCGCAAGACUGAAACUCAAAGGAAUUGACGGGGGCCCGCACAAGCGGUGGAGCAUGUGGUUUAAUUCGAAGCAACGCGAAGAACCUUACCAGGUCUUGACAUCCUCUGACAAUCCUAGAGAUAGGACGUCCCCUUCGGGGGCAGAGUGACAGGUGGUGCAUGGUUGUCGUCAGCUCGUGUCGUGAGAUGUUGGGUUAAGUCCCGCAACGAGCGCAACCCUUGAUCUUAGUUGCCAGCAUUCAGUUGGGCACUCUAAGGUGACUGCCGGUGACAAACCGGAGGAAGGUGGGGAUGACGUCAAAUCAUCAUGCCCCUUAUGACCUGGGCUACACACGUGCUACAAUGGACAGAACAAAGGGCAGCGAAACCGCGAGGUUAAGCCAAUCCCACAAAUCUGUUCUCAGUUCG
rnacentral:rRNA from 1 species